CUGAGUCAACCCAGGCCCGGGCUUAUCUCUUAACUCUGCAGUGUUUGUUUUAAGAAAAUCAAAGCACGUUCCCCUUCUGCUUUCUUCAAAGGGAGGAGGAGAGAGCUGGCCACUGCCUGGGAGGGAGGCUGCUAGUGCAGAGGCGUCAGUUCAGAGGAGAUCUGGAAUUGGUGUUUUUUUUUUUUUUUUUUUUACCUCUUGGUCUCAUGAACCAGCCAGAGUUCUUCAUUUCCGAGCUGGGCGUGUGCCCACCAUCAUCUGCUCCUUCGGACUCCUCCAUGUAAUCCUAGGGGACAGGCUUGUCAAGGUCCACUUGACUGAAAAAUAAAAAGAAUACUUGGGCUAGAAAAGGAGCGGUUUGAGGGAAGGCCUGUGGAAGGGUCUUUAGUGAGCAGGAAGGUGUGCGCAUGCGCACAUGCCGCCAGGCUUUGGGCGGCGUGGGAGCCAGGGGUCCCGCCAAGGGCCACAGAAAGAGGCCCAGGGAGCCAGCGAGCGAGAGAGGCUGAUGGUGGGGCCUGUAGGUGGAAUCCUGGUCUCCAAGGCAACAAGCACGACGGGGAAGCUCAGCUUUUGUUACCUCCUGGCAAGGGAUCACGGACAUUUCUUGUGUGCGUUGAAAUGUCAGGAGAUAUUAAGAAAUGGAGACAUGGAGUUCCCAUUGUGGCACAGUGAAAAUGACUCCCGUUAGUAUCCUCGAGGAUGCGGGUUCGAUCCCUGGUCUCACUCAGUGGGUCGGGGAUCAGUGUUGCCAUGAGCUGUUGUAUAGGUUGCAAACUCAGCUCAGAUCAUGUGUUGCUGUGGCCUAGGCCACCAGCUGCAGCUCCGAUUUGACCCCUAGCCUGGGAACUUCCAUAUGCCACAGGUGCAGCCCUAAAAAGCAAAAAAAGAAAGAAGGAAACGUAGACAUGAACUGGCACUCAAGGCUUCUUUCCUGAUUCUUGGCGCUGUAACUACUGCCUCCUCUGCUUUUGCCUGUCCUCUACCCUCUCCCAAAGAUGACCUUCGUGGUGGUGACCCCAAGUGUGGAGGAAGCCCAGACAUCCCUUCACCUGUAAGCCCUGGUUUUCUCCUCUGCGUGGAGAUGCCGAUGUCAUCUCCCUCCCUUGCAGGCAAUGAGGAUUGAGCAGAGUCAGUGUGGG
rnacentral:lncRNA from 1 species